rnacentral:sRNA from 1 species
AUAACUGGGGGCAGCUGAACUCUACAUUUGAGUCAAUGUUAAAAAUACUGUCACGAUUGCAAAUUUUACUCUUACCUUUUCCUAAGAUUAGAAAUCGGCUACCGAUAUGAUGAUUUUCUUACAAGAAUUACAGUUUCAAUUAUCUAUUAGGAACAUUGUUUAUUCAAACCUUUAUUUCCAUAUCAUUGAAAUCCAUUUAUUUUAUUAUUAUAACAUAUGAUUAAAGGGAUUAAAGAUCAUAAGUCAAUAUUUGUACUGUACGUACAUGUACGUUGUGUUAGUGGGAUAUUUUGAAUUGUUUGUUUGGUUUUUAAUUUCUUGUUGUAACAUGUAAUUUAUUAGUUCACAGUUUCUUUGUUUAUUUACUUAUCCUGUUGUCAUGGUGAUGCACAUUUACAUAUCACUGUGUAAUUAUUUUUUUUUUAAUAAAAAAACUGACCUUGUUUUAAUGAUCGAUAUAUAGAGAAGUUAUAUCUGAUGCAAUGUGUGAAUAAACUUCAAAAACU